AAGCAUUUGUAAGAGGUAGUUAUAGAGCUCCAGGAGUGUGCUUGAAGGGUUACAGUUGACCACCUGCUGGUAAAAGUUGACAUGCUCUGGAGCCCGCGCCUUGGAUGUAAACAUGGAAAAGACCUUUAACCUGAAACUGGGACCAUUCAAAAGGCUGGAUUCACCUCCGACUGCAGCUCCUGAUUCACCGUCUGCAGCUCCUGAUUCACCGUCUGCAGCUUCCGGCACCCAAGCAUCAUGGACAGUUACUGUGCUGCUAAUGCUCAUGUCAGCAGUCUUGGUUUCUGGAAAGCAGUGAUAUUCUGCGCUGGAUUUCUCAAACCUGCAAACCCAGGCACUGCAGGAUUCUUCAGUUUUCAUGGAAAUAUCCAGUCUUAUUUUACAUGUUGUCAAUAGACAAUGCUAUCCUUUAGAAUUGUGCAGAGCACUGGAAUAGUUGAUUAUUAGUAGAUAAUAAUGACAUAUGAGCUUAUAAAUUUUCUUUAAAUGGCCAAUAGGUGGCAGUAGAGUUUUGUUAAAACCAAUUAAAAAUUUAUGACCGUAGUUCACCCCCCAACCACUAGUGUGGGGAAGAAUGUAUAAAAGGGGGCCACACCCAGAAUUAGUGGUCUUUAUGGGACAAUACAGGAAGAGACCAGCUAGAAGUGAAGAAGACCAAUAUACAGGGUAAGGAGAGGUCAGAACAGGGCAGCUAAUAGUUGAGCAGGCACUAGGUGUCUGAGUCAGGGUUCAGUAGUAAGGGUCGUCUAUUGCCCCACCAAGGAGGGUAGAGGGAAAUAAUCUUCCCAGUGGAUCAUCCACAGAACAGGGACCCGAGUAGAUAGGGGUAGGCUAGAAGGAGGGCUUGAUGAGCUUCGGGCUAGUGUCGGCCAGUAGAAAAGGCCUGGUGGAAUAGCAAAGGGCACCGGGAGUGCUGGAUUGCUGAACCAGGUGGGGACAGGAGCCCAAAAGUAGCUACCCCUGGUAAGACUGACGUCCUCUGGAUACUGUGGAAUUGUACAUGUUUUGUAGAGAAAGCCCUGUUGGAAACAUCGUGAAUAUUUACCUGUAUGCUGUGACUCCCUUGUGAUAUGUGAUUAAAGUUAUUUUGCAUUACUUGUU